rnacentral:rRNA from 1 species
GGAUGAACGCUGGCGGCGUGCCUAAUACAUGCAAGUCGAGCGAACGGACGAGAAGCUUGCUUCUCUGAUGUUAGCGGCGGACGGGUGAGUAACACGUGGGUAACCUACCUAUAAGACUGGGAUAACUUCGGGAAACCGGAGCUAAUACCGGAUAAUAUUUUGAACCGCAUGGUUCAAAAGUGAAAGACGGUCUUGCUGUCACUUAUAGAUGGAUCCGCGCUGCAUUAGCUAGUUGGUAAGGUAACGGCUUACCAAGGCAACGAUGCAUAGCCGACCUGAGAGGGUGAUCGGCCACACUGGAACUGAGACACGGUCCAGACUCCUACGGGAGGCAGCAGUAGGGAAUCUUCCGCAAUGGGCGAAAGCCUGACGGAGCAACGCCGCGUGAGUGAUGAAGGUCUUCGGAUCGUAAAACUCUGUUAUUAGGGAAGAACAUAUGUGUAAGUAACUGUGCACAUCUUGACGGUACCUAAUCAGAAAGCCACGGCUAACUACGUG